ensembl:lncRNA
GGGGAGAGGGCCAGGCUUUGAACAUGAAGUUGAUCACAUGCAAAUAGCAUGCAAAUAUAUGCAAGCUGGCUUGGGCUGCGGGGCCCACCUCUCUGCCGUCCUCCCUCCUGGGUGAGGGCUGGGGCGGGUUUGCAUCCGGUUCCGCUUGGUGCCUAGGGUGCCUGGGCUCUACUUCAACCUGCCAGUAACGGAGUGAGGGUGGGGCAGUUCUCCACACCACCCUGCCCAAGAGAUGUGACCUAAGAGGACAUGGAGGUACUGGGUGGCAGGAGAGGCGGCUGACCCGCUGAGCAAGGAGUCCCUGUGGCUUGUGAUUUGUGCCUGGUGUCCUCACGAAAAGGUGAAGGAGUGUGUGCCCAGGAUUCUGACAUUCCCUCCUCCCCUGAAGGCUGGGGAGCAGCUGAACACACGUGGCAGACAGGACUCCCAGACCUGGCACGUUGUUUUCGACACAAUGUCUCAUAAAUAACAACUCACUGUGUAGCUGAGGAUGACCUUGACUGCCUCCACCACUCAAGUGCUGGAUUUCAGGUGUGGGAGGAGACUCAACAGUGAUUAGCUACUGUUGCUGGCUUCCUGAAGACUGUUCUGUACGCUGUGGAAUAGAGGGUCUAUAGGUCAGGCUGGUGCCAUACUUGUGACCCUCUUGCCUCAGUCUCCCGAGUGCUGAUAUUAUAGGUGCAUCAACCCAUACGGCUGGAACUCACAGGGAUGCUUUCCCCCACCUGCAGGAUGCUGGCAUUAAAGGCAAGAGUCACCACACCAGGCAAGUAGGGGGACAUUUUGUAGGAUCUCUGUCUCCCAGAUACUCACUUUACUCAUAGCUGCUCUGCCCGAGGCCAACUUGGGGUUCUUUUUUUUUUUUUGGUUUUUCGAGACAGGGUUUCUCUGUAUUGCUUUGGAGCCUGUCCUGGAACUGCUCCGUAGACCAGGCUGGCUUCAAACUCAGAGAUCCACCUGCCUCUGCCUCCCGAGUGAUGGACUGGGGGUGGUGGCCCAUGUGGGCCUUUAAUCCCACUCAGGAGACAGAGUCAGGCAGAUUUGGUCUAGAGACCAGGUCAGUCUGGUUUACAUAGUGAAUUCCAAGACAGCAAAGAUGAGAGGAGACCCUUUUUCUAAACAAUAACACCCUUCCCUGAAACAGGAACAGAAACCCAGGUGGAAGAGCUGGGCAAGCCAAACAAUUGUCGGGGAGAGGGGUACCUGAAAGAGUGGUGGAGCCUAUAAUCAAUUCCUUCCAUCAACACCUUUUCUCUUCCUUUUUGGACAAGAUUUCACUUUGCUCAGGCUAGUGUCAGACAUGAUAUUUGGCAGAGGAUAACCUUGAACUUCUGAUACUUCUGGUCCCUCACACUGCAAAUUGGGGGCGGGAGGAGAGGUGGAAAACUGCCAAAGGUGAGGCAGUGGGAAGAAUCUUAGGUGGAGUGGGUAGCUCUUCCCCCAGGUGCAGCAGACCAGGUGCUCGCAUAGUGGCCACCUGCUAGAACACCCUGGUGAUCCUUGCCCUGCUCCUCCACACUCCAGGCUGGGGUGAGGGGACUCUGCGGGAGUUACCCUGGGUGGCCGCACUUUUGGAAGCACAUAGAGUCUACCCAGGCUGGCCUUCAACUGAUG